UACAGAGGUCCCAAGCGUUGUUCGGAUUCAUUGGGCGUAAAGGGUGCGUAGGCGGCGCGGUAAGUCGGGUGUGAAAUCUCGGAGCUUUAACUCCGAAACUGCAUUCGAUACUGCCGUGCUUGAGGACUGGAGAGGAGACUGGAAUUUACGGUGUAGCGGUGAAAUGCGUAGAUAUCGUAAGGAAGACCAGUGGCGAAGGCGGGUCUCUGGACAGUUCCUGACGCUGAGGCACGAAGGCCAGGGGAGCAAACGGG
rnacentral:rRNA from 1 species